rnacentral:rRNA from 1 species
GACGUAGGGGGCAAGCGUUGUUCGGAAUUAUUGGGCGUAAAGCGCUCGUAGGCGGGACAGGAAGUUCGUGUUGAAAGACCUCGGCUCAACUGAGGGACCGGCUCGAAUACUCUUGUUCUUGAGGCAAUCAGAGGGUGAUGGAAUUCCCGGUGUAGCAGUGAAAUGCGUAGAUAUCGGGAGGAACACCAGUGGCGAAGGCGAUCACCUGGGGUUGUUCUGACGCUGAGGAGCGAAAGCUAGGGGAGCAAACGGG